rnacentral:rRNA from 1 species
CAGGCCUAAACAUGCAAGUCUAGGGGGUGUAGCAAUACAUCACCGGCGGACGGGUGCGAACGCGUGGGAAUAUGCCCUUCGGUACGGAAUAACUCCGGGAAACCGGUCUAAUACCGUAUACGCCCUACGGGGGAAAGAUUUAUCGCCGAAGGAUUACCCGCGUCGGAUUAGCUUGUUGGUGGGGUAAUGGCCCACCAAGGCGACGUCCGUAGCUGGUUUGAGAGGAUGAUCAGCCACACUGGGACUGAGACACGCCCAGACUCCUACGGGAGGCAGCAGUGGGGAAUAUUGGACAAUGGGGGCACCCUGAUCCAGCCAUGCCGCGUGAGUGAUGAAGGCCUUAGGGUUGUAAGCUCUUUCAGCGGGGAAGAUGAUGACGGUACCCGCAGAAGAAGCCCCGGUAACUCCGUGCCAGCAGCCGCGGUAAU